rnacentral:rRNA from 1 species
CCUACGGGAGGCAGCAGUGGGGAAUAUUGGACAAUGGGCGAAAGCCUGAUCCAGCAAUGCCGCGUGAGUGAUGAAGGCCUUAGGGUUGUAAAGCUCUUUUGCCCGGGAAGAUAAUGACGGUACCGGGAGAAUAAGCCCCGGCUAACUCCGUGCCAGCAGCCGCGGUAAUACGGAGGGGGCUAGCGUUGUUCGGAAUUACUGGGCGUAAAGCGCACGUAGGCGGCUUCGCAAGUCAGAGGUGAAAGCCCGGGGCUCAACCCCGGAACUGCCUUUGA